rnacentral:pre_miRNA from 1 species
CUUGAUGACACUAACCCGUAGAUCCGAACUUGUGGGCUUUUUUAUAUGCAUACCGCAAGCUCCUAUCUACCGGUACAUGUAGUCAGGCCGG